AUGUCGGCGACGGUGGUGAGCAUGGCGAGGUCGAUGCUGAUGGGCGCCAUCAGCGUGGCCGCCUCUGCCGCUGCUGCUGAGAUGAGCCUCCUCAUUGGAGUCCGCAAAGACAUCUGGUUCAUCAAAGACGAGCUAGAGACCAUGCAUGCAUUCCUUCUGUCCGUUGAAGCGACGAAGAACAAAAGUAUGGUAUUGCAGGUGUGGGCAAAGCAAGUAAGGGACCUUGCCUAUGGUAUUGAGGAUUGCCUUGCUGAAUUCAUGGUGCAUGUUGGAAGCCAGAGCCGGUCUCAACAACUGCUUAAGUUAAAAGACCGCCAUCGCAUUGCCAGCCAAAUUCGUGAUCUCAAAGCAAGGGUUGAAGAAGUGAGCAACAGGAACACACGCUAUAACUUGAUCACCAAAGAUGCCUCCAACGGUAUUGACGAGGUGAAUUCCUACAUGGAAGAUAUUCGCAGCCACGCAGCUAGCAACAUUGAUGAGGCAGGGCUUGUGGGCUUUGCUAAGCUAAAGAGGAGUUGA
rnacentral:rRNA from 1 species